GCGCGUUGGUGUUGGCAGACAACUUCAACUAGAACUAGUUGGUGCCUGGUGGUGUUCUGGAGUCCCUUUUCUCCCUCCCCUCAAUGAAUCAUAUUAUUAGCUUUUAUUAUUUCCACUUUGCAAUCAUUCCUUCUCUGAUAACUGAUUCUCAAUCUUCGUUGCCAAUCAAAAUUCUUGCCUUCCUUCCCCUCUCCUCUCUUACUGAUUGAUUCCAUAGCCAGCCAAGAGUUGCCAAUUGCUGUAAAAAAAAAAAAUGGAGAGAAGAAAAUUGGUUUCCACAUCUCAGAAGAAAACCCUUCUCUCUCUUUUAUCCAUCAACUUAAAGAAACUCACGAUCACACCUCCAAAUGACCUUGAGUUCUCUGAUGUAUUUGGCCCAUCAUCAACCCCGCAUGACCCUAACCAUUCACACUCUCCUUCCACGUCAUCUUCUGUCCUGGACCCCCCUGUCAUCCACAACAGGUCCCACUCCUUUGUGGGCCCCUCCCCUCGCUACCCUCUUCCCUCUUCUCCUCUCCCCUUCCACCAUAUCCAAGAAGAUGAUGAAGCUGUAAUAGAAAAUGAAAGUUGUGACAAUGAAAAGGGAAAGAGCGAGGAUGAUGAGGGUCAAGUGGGCAGUUGUGGUAAUAAUAAUAAAAUCGGGCCUGCUGAUUUUGAGAUACUGAGAGUGGUAGGAAAGGGAGCAUUUGGUAAGGUGUUUCAAGUAAGAAAGAAGACUGGUGAUGGCAAAGAAAAAGGAGGAGGAGGAGGUAGUGGGGAUGGGAUUUAUGCAAUGAAAGUAAUGAGGAAGGACACAAUUAUUAAAAAGAAACAUGUUGAUUACAUGAAGGCUGAGAGGGAUAUCCUCACUAAAGUGGUGCACCCCUUUAUCGUCCAGCUUCGCUACUCCUUUCAGACCAAGUCUAAGCUUUACUUAAUCUUGGAUUUUAUGAAUGGAGGUCAUCUCUUCUUUCAUCUUUAUCGGCAAGGGAUCUUCAGCGAGGACCAGGCAAGGUUUUAUACUGCUGAGAUAGUAUCUGCUGUUGCCCAUCUUCACAAGUGCGGGAUUGUGCAUCGGGAUCUUAAACCUGAAAAUAUUCUCUUGGAUGCUGACGGGCAUGUUCUACUGACUGAUUUUGGACUUGCAAAGGAAAUUGAUGAAUCAAGCAGAUCCAAUUCAAUGUGUGGGACCACUGAAUACAUGGCUCCGGAAAUUUUACUGUCCAAGGGCCACAAUAAAGAUGCAGAUUGGUGGAGUGUUGGAAUACUUCUGUAUGAAAUGCUAACUGGGCAGCCACCAUUUACACACUCAAAUAGAAAGAAGCUCCAGGAGAGAAUUAUCAAAGAGAGAGUCAAACUUCCACCAUACCUUAGUAGUGAAGCUCACUCCUUGCUGAAAGGAUUGCUGCAGAAAGAACCAUCAAGAAGGUUAGGCAGUGGUCUUGAUGGCGGGGAUGAGAUCAAAGGCCAUAAAUGGUUGCGGCCAAUCAACUGGAAAAAAUUAGAGGCGAGAGAACUGCAGCCAAAGUACAUACCAGAUGUGAGUGGCAAAGACUGUACAGCCAACUUUGACCAAUGUUGGACAACAAUGCCCCUUGAUGACUCACCAGCUCCCACACCAACUGCUGGUGAACAUUUUCAAGGGUAUACUUAUGUUGCGCCUAACCCUUGGCUUUCAUCCGGAUGAAUUAAAUGAUUAUGAAGCACUGCCAACCUAAUGAAAUUUGAAUUUUGAUCUUUGGUGAAACAGAACAGUAUUGGGUUUGUUGCAAUGGUUCCAUGCUGGUUCUUAUGCUAGUUGAGAGCUGAUCAAAUUUUAAGAAUGUGAGAUUAAUGAAGUCUUUAAUCAAAAGCAUGCCAAAAUAUCCAAUCCAAAGCACAAAGACCAUUUGGAUGGCUUGGCAAGAGAGAGAGAGAGGAUUCUGUUCAGGACUUCCUCAUGAAGGUGAUGUAAAGCAAUGGUGGAUAGUAAAGAGAAGCUUUCUUAAAGUACAAAGAAGAAAGUAGCAUAGAAGAAUCUUGUUUUUCAUUAGGAGACAGAAAGAGUGGCUAUAGUUGAAAGUCCAUAAAGUAGCCAUGAGUAGCAAAAAUAGGAGCAACAAUUCCCUCUGUGAGAACUCAAUGAAGGUGGCGGUGAACAUCAUAAAAUUGUCUUCAUUUUCUAUUGCUAAGAUGAGUCUGGGAACACAUAGUCCUCCAGUUGUCACCAAAAGUUAUAUCCCUAUGACAGGCUCGGUCAUGGUUGCUAAUGAACCAUUGUUGUCUCAAAUUCCAGGAAGUCGAAGGUCACAAGAGUCACAGGGGAGCUCAAAGCCAAUAUCAUUUGUGAUGCAGCCAGAUGAAGGUAAUGGUUCUACACAUGCGAUCCACAAGGAGAACAGUGUUAUAGAUGGGAGGGCUUCUGAUUAUAUCAGAAAGGUACACGAGAAAAACCACAAAGAUGCUCGUGAGAUGUCAGAACUCUCCUCGUACAUACUACCUCCUCCGCCAUGAGCAGUGAAGUAGCUACCUUAACACGUGUUUUUCAGUAUUUCUUGUUACCCAUUUAAUGUUUGGCUGAAAUAACCUGAUAAGUUAGAUCACUGAAAAAGAACUGGAUCUUUCAUAUCCUUUCCUUGCUUGUGUUAGUGAUUAGUGUAUUCUCAUCUGCUUCUUGUGUACUUGCCUUCUCUCUCAAGGGAAAGGGGCCAUGGUCCUGAACCAGAGAUUAUCUCCUAAUAUGGCAUAAAACUGUGUACCUGAGUGCUGCAUAGCAUGCGUUUCUAUUUAUGGCUUUUCCAGAUCUUCUAAAGAAA